rnacentral:pre_miRNA from 1 species
CAACAACUCCCUCCGUUCGGAAUUACUUGUCUCGGAAAUGGAUGUAUCUAGAACUAAAAUACGUCUAGAUACAUUCAUUUCUGCGACAAGUAAUUCCGAACGGAGGGAGUACUUC